AAAAAGACAAACCCUAGGUUUCCGUGUCAAUGUUUGACUAUCCGUCUUAUAUGAAAUUUUUUUAUAAUUAGUAUUCUCAUUGUUGUUAGAUGAUAAAACAUGAUUAAUACUUUAUGUGUGACUUAUCUUUUUAAUUUUUUUAUAGUUUUUUUAAUAAGACGGACGGUCAAACGUUGGACACGGAAACCAGGGUUUGUCUUUUU
rfam:Oryza sativa Japonica Group DNA, chromosome 3, cultivar: Nipponbare, complete sequence.